rnacentral:rRNA from 1 species
GGGGCAGCAUUUUAGUUUGCUUGCAAACUAAAGAUGGCGACCGGCGCACGGGUGAGUAACACGUAUCCAACCUGCCGAUAACUCGGGGAUAGCCUUUCGAAAGAAAGAUUAAUAUCCGAUGGUAUAUUAAAACCGCAUGGUUUUACUAUUAAAGAAUUUCGGUUAUCGAUGGGGAUGCGUUCCAUUAGUUUGUUGGCGGGGUAACGGCCCACCAAGACUACGAUGGAUAGGGGUUCUGAGAGGAAGGUCCCCCACAUUGGAACUGAGACACGGUCCAAACUCCUACGGGAGGCAGCAGUGAGGAAUAUUGGUCAAUGGACGAGAGUCUGAACCAGCCAAGUAGCGUGAAGGAUGACUGCCCUAUGGGUUGUAAACUUCUUUUAUAUGGGAAUAAAGUAUUCCACGUGUGGGAUUUUGUAUGUACCAUAUGAAUAAGGAUCGGCUAACUCCGUGCCAGCAGCCGCGGUAAUACGGAGGAUCCGAGCGUUAUCCGGAUUUAUUGGGUUUAAAGGGAGCGUAGGUGGAUUGUUAAGUCAGUUGUGAAAGUUUGCGGCUCAACCGUAAAAUUGCAGUUGAAACUGGCAGUCUUGAGUACAGUAGAGGUGGGCGGAAUUCGUGGUGUAGCGGUGAAAUGCUUAGAUAUCACGAAGAACUCCGAUUGCGAAGGCAGCUCACUAGACUGCAACUGACACUGAUGCUCGAAAGUGUGGGUAUCAAACAGGAUUAGAUACCCUGGUAGUCCACACAGUAAACGAUGAAUACUCGCUGUUUGCGAUAUACAGUAAGCGGCCAAGCGAAAGCAUUAAGUAUUCCACCUGGGGAGUACGCCG